AUUCACGUACACAGGAGUGUUCUUGCGUGAGCGUGUGCACACGCGCGCACACACACAUACACACACACAGGCUCUGCCCUAGCUGCCUCUCCCCUCUGCUCUCAUAGUACAGCCGGGUCAGGCACCUCUCACCUUACUUCUCACACUAUUUAAAAUUGUUUACUUGUCCAUCUUCCCACCAGGUCUUAGGCUUUAUAAGGGCAGGGUCUUGUUUGUUUGCUUGUUUUUGCUCCCUUCUCUCUCUUCUUAUACACAAAGUUCGUUGGCUGAAUUGUCCAGCAGGACUCCAGGACACAAGAGGAAACGCGCUGUUACCACCAACGACUCAGGUGUUGAGACACUAGACCAGCUUGGUGAGCGCCCACCUGAUCUUUCCAGGAUCCGGCUGACAGCAUAGGCGGUCACUCCAGAUCCCUUUCUACUCCUCCCCUUUCCCUAGUACCCAUGGGACUCAUUUGCCAGCCCCCACCCCUGGGCCAUGCACCCAAAUCUUGAUCCUCGGGAAUCUGGCAAGCUGCCCACCUGCUUCCAGACAUCCUGAACGUCGAGUGCCAGCGGGGAUCCUGCUUCACCCUCCCUCUGGCCUCAGCAUUUCUCUCCCCCCGCCUUGUGUUUAGCGACUUUCUUUCCUGCUUCCAUUUACCUCCGUUUCCUCCUGGCCUAAGCUCCGGGCCUGCCCUGGGCACCCCUGGCACCGCUCUCUAGUGAUACUCCUGCUGAAGAAGCCACUGACUGUUGUCCGGGAAGCCUGUCAUGCUGUCUCAUGUCAGUGCUCAGUGACCGUCCAGUGGAAACCAUGGUGGCCUAGGGGAAGCCACACAUCCAAACCCUGCCUUGGAAUUUGAACAAUGCCAGGAUGCAGCAGCUGUGUCUUCCAGGUGGGCCUUUGGGAGGUUCUGCCCUGGGACCCACAGACAGUGUGUUGGCUUGAGACUAACAUGAGAUGGGCAACUCCGUGAAGAGCCACAGGAACCACUAAAUAUAACGAUAAACCGGAAACAGCAAUUAUGUAUACUGUGUAAUGAAAAGAGUAAGUGACGUGGCUCAGGGGACAGCACGACCAGCAGAAGCUCAGCGGUGGAAGAGACGCAACAAGGCAAAGGGCUUGAGCAGGUAAUGAUUGACAGCUGCAGGUACGGAGGGCCAACGCUGUGCCAGGCACUUUGCAGGGGCGGGCUACAGCAGCAAGCCAGCGAAACCAGGACCCUUCUCGCACAGAGAUGAUUUAUUGAGCCCCUUCUCCCUGCCAGACGCCAUACCCCGAAAGGUACCAGGUUAAACACCUCCGCAGCCUCCCACUCCAGUCCCUUGGAGCUUCUGUCAAUGGGAUUGGAGUUUGAGACACGCUUUGCAUUCCUCUCCCUGUUUCCUGCCACCCACGCCCAGAGCCUAGAGGGCAGCGGAGUGGAGAUGCCCCGUGCAUGCCCACGAUGGGCAGGGAGGGAGAGUCCCUCCACACUCCUGCCUCUGCUCACACCAGCCACCCCUCCUCUCGACGCUUCCGAAGCCUUCCUCCCCUCCCAGCCUCUACCCCUCUAGCCCGCCUCACGAAGCCUUCCUGGGGCGGUGCUCCAGACGACACCCCCCCCUUCUGAAUUUCUGUAAUAACGUCUGUGUUUGCUAUGGUGACUUAAUGUGCCCGUUCACCCACUUUAUCUUCACGCAGUGAGGUGGGCAUGGCACUCACCACUCCCCCCUUCCCCACCCAUCUUUCAGCAACCGUGGAACUGAGUCUGGAAGA